UACAUGAGCACAAAGAAAUUGUACAUGUGGCUUACAUACACUCAAAGUAAACUGCUUAAAUAACAGAUCUUUAUACUGGAGCUCUUUUUCUAUUAUUCUUUUUGCCAUAUCCUUAAUUGCGGGUUGGCUACACCUACAACCCACACUUCCUAAUGCUAGGGAAUUCAACAUGUCCAGGUAAUAUUAGAGAGGGUAGAGCAUUUUGCUCAGUUAGUUUCUAUAUAUGAAGAUCAAAUAUUUCAAAAAAGAGCUCGUAUUCAGCAGGUCCCACAGCUUCCACGUUAAGCAAAUCCGAGUGCAGGCACGGGUAUUUCCAUGUGGUGAACAAUGACUACACUCACUGGGAGAUGUAUGCGAUUGGCGGAAGUGCAAAUCCCACUAUCAACAGCCAGGGCAACAAAUAUCUUGCCCCGAUGAAUCGCUUUGCCAAGGAGGCACUUGUGGUGAAGCUAAGGAAAGGCACCGGGCCAAAUGCUAAUACUGGUGUUGUCACUAGAGUUCUUGCAACUGUUGGGGAGCUUGCUAGGGUGUGCCAUUGGCACUCUCCUGAACUGAAUAUGUAGUGCAAAAAUGCCACUGGCACUCUCCUCAGAGGACAUCAUCAAUGGGAACAGACAAGCAAGUGGAGGCCUUUGGCUCUGUCCAGAAACGGAUCGCAAACCUCCUAGAAAUUCCUUUAGCCUGCAGGAAAAAGGAAACCAAAACUAUUGAGAAGCGGAAUUGUACAAUACUCUGACAGAUUCAACAUCCACACAUCCACAGUGCUGAAUAGGGCAUAAUUACAGUUUGGGGGCUACUUCCUCAUACAAAUACUAAUGGAGAAGCUCAACCUAGUGAAUAGUGUGCUAUUUACUGGUGGAUGGGCUAAAACUGGUUUAUACUAUGAGACUGUGCAGGAGAUUUUCAAGAUUUCCCAACUGAAGUUCGGAAGUAGUGAAACUUUUUUCUGAAAACAAUUUCCCGACAACAUUUGCAGGUUUGUUUUCCGGGCCAAUUGCAACUAUUCAAGUUCCAACUAUCAACAUUUGCAGGUGUCAUGACUGCAUAUAUAGCAUUUGGGAAUAAAGAUAUUAAAUCCAGAGCUGAGAGAUUUUUGAGCAGUAUCACAAAUUCAAUUGAGACAGUUCUGAGGCGCAAUGUGGAAGUCAGAAUGGGACUUAUUGCAGAUGGGGAAAAUUCUAUAAACAGGAUAAAAGCAGUCGAGUCACCAGAUUCUAUGGCAGUGGCAUAGAAGCAGAUGGAAAUGAUUGGGAUGAUGGGCAGGCACCGAAAUGCAGAUAAUAGCAGAUUAAGUACAUCAUAUCAGGGCCCAUGUAAAGAACAACUCAAUCUGACCAGAAAAAGCUUUAAUGGUUAUGAGUGGAUGCUGCGAAGAACCCCAGAUUCGUGAGAUUUGUUUAUUGUAGAAAAUUGAGAAUGGGUUCUGAUUGAGCAUGUGCAGGUUUGGGGGCUUCCUUGUGCCCACAAUUUCCAUGUGGAAUGCAUUGAUGAGUGGCUCCAGCUGAAUGUAAAGUGCCCCCGUUGCCGCUACUCCGUCUUCCCUAACCUCGACCUCAGCGCCCUCUCCAACCUUCACGCUGACUCUGGUUGUCCCUCUGCUAGUGUUUUGACGGCCACACACUAUGUGCACACGCAGCUAGCAGGCCAGAGCUACCUGUUGAGGUUGUAGACCGACAAUCCGAAUGGAGAAUGCUGGUGAAGGCAAUGAUGAUGCUGGCCUAGAAGCAGCAGAAGAUGGACGGGCAGUGUUAUGUCAGGGUCCGCCAAGCACGACAGCACCAGUGAUGACGGGCGCGGCCAUGACAUUGUAUUAUUUGUGGAACCUAAUGUUAUGUAACAGUUUGAUUGAGUUAAACUUUAAAUAGACUGUCGUUAACU